rnacentral:lncRNA from 12 species
CACACACACCCAACACACACACAUGUGAGAUCCAGACAGGGACUUGAAUAUCAGUUCUACAGGUUUAUUCUACCCUCUAAUUAUGAUUGAGAGGAAUUGUCAGACCCUAAUAGCUGAAGACUUGAUGUGAAGACAAGGUUUCUUGCUUACAAAGGGGAAUUUUCAUUAGCCAUGUUUGCAGAUCAUCCUAAGACCCAGAGAGGUUUUCCCAAGACCCAGAGCUCUCCUGUGGAACUGGGGCUGAAAACAAGCAUGAUCCACAGCAUAUCAGAGGGAAUUGUGAUCCUGUUCUCAGGAACAGAGGAUGACCAGAAGCCAACUAUGAAUCCUUGGAAAAGGAAAGAGGAGAAUACCACCCACUGAAAAUAAGUCGACUCCAUCCUCACUCUCUUUCAGUUGGAUCUUACAACUACAGAUAAAGUGGUUCCUAUAGCUCUCUCUGCCCAAUAGAACCAAGGAUAUCUUUUACUUAUACUUUUAGUGCCAGACAGAGCUUCGGUCCCCAAGUCCCUCUCACCAGGAGAUGACAGUUGGGUGGAGGUGGUAAUAAACAGAGAAGAGGACCUGAGUCUCA